AAGCCGAGGACGUCUGAUUCCCACCAUGGCCUGGGCCCAUCUGCUUCUCACGCUGCUCACUUACUGCUCAGGGUCCUUGGCCCAGUUUGUGCUGACUCAGCCGCCCUCAGCCUCUGCGUCUCCUGGGCAAACGGUUACGAUCUCCUGUGCAAGGAGCAGCGGCAGCAUUGGUAGCUACUAUGUAUCCUGGUACCAACAGAAGCCUGGCAGUGCCCCAAAGCUGAUUAUAUACGAGUGGAACAAGAGACCCUCUGGAAUCUCUGACCGAUUCUCCGGCUCUACAGACACCUCCGCCAAUGCUGCCUCCUUAACCAUCUCUGGGGUCCAAGCCGACGAUGAGGCUGAUUAUUACUGUGCUUCAUAUGAAGGCAACUACAAUCGCACAUUGCUACAGAGCCAUGGGGAACUGAGACCAAAACCUCCCAGAAGCCCACGUUCCACUGCUGUGGUCUCAUGGCGUCUUCCCCCUGCCUGAGGCCCUGCAGUGAAAUGAACUGUCUCUCCCCCGUCAUGGGUGGUACAGUCCCAAAUAAAGGGCAAACUGCGA